GCUGCUGCCAUCAACCCACAGAAAUUCAAGCAGGGAUACCUUGAAGGCUUUGGAGACAUGCAAUAAGCUGUGGAAGCUCUUCCCAUGAAACUGCAGACUUCUCCAGUUGAGAGAGAAGUCUUUUGGUGCUAUCAAGUAUCACUGAAGAGGAGAAAUAAGACAGCACUGAGCUGUCAUUGAAAAUCUGUCUCAGGCUAUUGGGAACACAACAGGGCAGGGAGGGAGAUGUGCUGUCCUUAAUAUUUCACUGCAUACAGUCAGAAGAUCACCAAAAUAUUCCUUUCAUCUUUGAAGAAUACAUUUCAUCUUUGGAAUAUCUUUGGGGGAAAAUACAGUGAUAUUCGGGCCAGAGUGGUCUGACUGUGUAGCAUCAGAGAUGUGCUCCAGUAUAGCUCAUGGGAGCAGAAGGUGCUGCUGAGGCUGCUGGCUGGAAGAGCCAUUAGCCACAAGGGGGAGGCAGCAACCAGUGAUAUGAAGCACCAACCGCUGUACCUGAGGAUUUCAUUCUGAUUGUGGUAAUGCUCACAAGGGGAAUUGGAUCUUUUGACCAAGACAACUGCCUGGAUGCUGAUGUUGCAAAUAUCCCUCAAUGGUGUCUUCAGCUAAAUGGGCUGAGACUCCCCAAACUGCUCUGGUGAUUCUAUGUGAUCAUUACAGCAUAUCCAUGAUCAGUUCUUGUCGAUUAUCUUAAGCUAUGUAAGAAACACAUCUUAACUAUGAAUAAAAGACAGCCCAACAUGCCUGUCUUUUC